GCUCCCGUAGUUCAAUGGAUAGAAUAGGCCCGUCCUAAGGGUUAGAUGUUGGUUCGAUUCCGACCGGGAGUA
rnacentral:tRNA from 1 species